GGGCGUAAGAGCUCGUAGGCGGUCUGUCGCGUCGGAUGUGAAAGCCCGGGGCUUAACCCCGGGUCUGCAUUCGAUACGGGCAGACUAGAGUGUGGUAGGGGAGAUCGGAAUUCCUGGUGUAGCGGUGAAAUGCGCAGAUAUCAGGAGGAACACCGGUGGCGAAGGCGGAUCUCUGGGCCAUUACUGACGCUGAGGAGCGAAAGCGUGGGGAGCGAACAGGAUUAGAUACCCUGGUAGUCCACGCCGUAAACGGUGGGAACUAGGUGUUGGCGACAUUCCACGUCGUCGGUGCCGCAGCUAACGCAUUAAGUUCCCCGCCUGGGGAGUACGGCCGCAAGGCUAAAACUCAAAGGAAUUGACGGGGGCCCGCACAAGCAGCGGAGCAUGUGGC
rnacentral:rRNA from 1 species